rnacentral:lncRNA from 1 species
GGUUCCCUAUAAGGUGCCAGAUGUCCCCGUGGCUCUGACCUGAGAGACUAGGCUCCAUGUGGCCCUCCUACUACACACUAUUUCGAAAUAGGUCACAGAACUACUUUGGUGUGGACCCAGCCUGCCACCUGUGCUGUUUGCUGCUUGACCCAGUUGCUGCCGACUCCAUGAAAGACAGGAGCAUAAUUCAGUCCACAAACUUCUUUGUGUGUCACCAUGAGCCUGGUGGUGGCAGGGAUGCUGGGGACCUGCCACUCAGGUUAGGUUGUAUACACUCUGACCAGCACAUUUAUGUUCAAGUUUGAAGAACAUGAAGGAAACAGGCUGACCAACUGUCUGUUUUCUGUGGCUAUAAUGGAAUACCGGAAACUGGGAAAUUUAUAAAGGGAAGAUGUUUAAUUUGGCUCACCAUUUAGAAUGCUUGGAAGUCCCAGACUGGCUGACUGUAUCUGGUAAGGGACUUGUACUUUUCCAACGCACAGUGGAAAUGAGUGAGGAAAAAGAGGCCAAAACCCUGUUCUUGACAUGACUGCUCCUUCCCUCCAGAGUAAUACUAAUUUUUCUGGUUCUGCCUUCCCAUCACCCCAGACAUUCUGCUGGGUGCCAUCUACUAACACUGUCAAGGACACGAACGAAGAAUCCUGCACAUGAACUCCCGAGGCCAUGCUCAACCCAAAAUACCAAGUUCAGAGGGAGAGAACUUUGAGCAGGAUUGAACUGGGCAUGCUCAGGGCACAAAAGGCCCAUUAGCCACAGCCCAGAGAAGGAAGAGAUGAGACAGGGAAGACAGAGUGAUCACAACCUACUCUCAGACACAGUUGGAUUUCUUUCUUCAGGUCAGGAGAUCAUUUGGAGGGUUUUUAAGCAAGGGAGGAGUCUCACCGAUGGCAGACACAUCGGGAUGGGUUGCAGACGCAAGUAACACAAAUGCGCUUCCGGAGGCUAGAGAGAGAGAGACAGAGAGAGAGACAGAGACAGAGAGAGAGAGAGAGACAGAGAGAGACAGAGACAGAGACAGACAGAGAGAGAGACACAGAGAGACAGAGACAGAGAUACACAGAGAGAGACAGAGACAGACAGAGACAGAGACAGACAGAGAGAGAGACACAGAGAGACAGAGACAGAGAUACACAGAGAGAGACAGAGAGACAGAGACAGAGAGAGAGAUGCUGCACUAGAGGAAGCCAUAGAGGUGGAGAGAAAUUAGUUGUGUCUUAGUCUUAGCCUCAGAAGCAAAGGCCAGAAGACCCACUGCUGCUGGGUUGGAGAGAGACUGUGGGGAGAAACAGACUGAAGGUGGCUGUCUGCAGGCAGAGGGCUCACAGGAGCAGCAGGAGUGAAAGAGUAACCAAGAGCUUGCUUUGGGUACUCGAGUGGAUAUCUUGAGGAAGACUUGAACGUAUGUGUUUAGGGCUGCAGGAGGAGUCACCAGAAACUUCUAUUCGUGGUCAUCACCCUGGUGGUGUUUACUCAAACCAUUAGGAGUAAAGAAACAAGACAAAGAUAGGGCUGAUUGGCCACUCAUUACUUGGACAUUCUGCAGGAAGGAAGGGCCAGCAAAGGACCCAAGGAGAUGCUUUCUAGGAGGUUCGUGAAUAUUCAAGAGCAGCCCAGGGAACGCUAAGAGGUGAGGCUGGGUAAUGCCAGAGAGAAGCAAUGGGAUUUGGCCACACGGUAGGUAUUGGCAGUUACCAAUGAGUAUUCAGUAUGGCAGGGGCCAGAAUCCAGCUGGAGUAAGAUUAGGGGAGGCUGUGAUGUGAUGUCUCUUUCAGUAAUGGGGAAUGG